UAACACAUGCAAGUCGAGCGGUAGAGAGAAGCUUGCUUCUCUUGAGAGCGGCGGACGGGUGAGUAAUGCCUAGGAAUCUGCCUGGUAGUGGGGGAUAACGUUCGGAAACGGACGCUAAUACCGCAUACGUCCUACGGGAGAAAGCAGGGGACCUUCGGGCCUUGCGCUAUCAGAUGAGCCUAGGUCGGAUUAGCUAGUUGGUGAGGUAAUGGCUCACCAAGGCGACAAUCCGUAACUGGUCUGAGAGGAUGAUCAGUCACACUGGAACUGAGACACGGUCCAGACUCCUACGGGAGGCAGCAGUGGGGAAUAUUGGACAAUGGGCGAAAGCCUGAUCCAGCCAUGCCGCGUGUGUGAAGAAGGUCUUCGGAUUGUAAAGCACUUUAAGUUGGGAGGAAGGGCAGUUACCUAAUACGUGAUUGUUUUGACGUUACCGACAGAAUAAGCACCGGCUAACUCUGUGCCAGCAGCCGCGGUAAUACAGAGGGUGCAAGCGUUAAUCGGAAUUACUGGGCGUAAAGCGCGCGUAGGUGGUUUGUUAAGUUGGAUGUGAAAUCCCCGGGCUCAACCUGGGAACUGCAUUCAAAACUGACUGACUAGAGUAUGGUAGAGGGUGGUGGAAUUUCCUGUGUAGCGGUGAAAUGCGUAGAUAUAGGAAGGAACACCAGUGGCGAAGGCGACCACCUGGACUGAUACUGACACUGAGGUGCGAAAGCGUGGGGAGCAAACAGGAUUAGAUACCCUGGUAGUCCACGCCGUAAACGAUGUCAACUAGCCGUUGGGAGCCUUGAGCUCUUAGUGGCGCAGCUAACGCAUUAAGUUGACCGCCUGGGGAGUACGGCCGCNAGGUUAAAACUCAAAUGAAUUGACGGGGGCCCGCACAAGCGGGGGAGCAUGUGGUUUUAUUUCGAAACAACGCGAAGAACCUUACCAUGCCUUGACAUCCAAUGAACUUUCUAGAGAUAANUUGGUGCCUUCCGGCAACAUUGAAAACAGGUGCUGCAUGGCUGUCCGUCACCUCCUGUCCGGAAAAAUUCGGGUUAAUUCCCGUAACCGGCCGCCACCCCUGGCCCUUAGUUGCCAUUAACUAAAGGUGGGCCAUUUUACGGAAACUGGCGGGGAACAAGCCGCACGUAAGUUCGGGAAUAAAUGCACAGCU
rnacentral:rRNA from 1 species